rnacentral:ncRNA from 1 species
AUGAGCCGUAUACGGGGCCCGUACGUACGGUUCUGGGAGAGGGAUGAGGCGAACCUGAUCAGUUCGCCUCACCCUAC